AGUAGACGCUGAGGAUUGGUGCUUGCACUAAUCCAAGGAGUUGCGAACGGGUGAGUAACGCGUAGGUAACCUACCUCAUAGCGGGGGAUAACUAUUGGAAACGAUAGCUAAUACCGCAUGACACUAGAGUACACAUGUACUCAAGUUAAAAGGAGCAAUUGCUUCACUAUGAGAUGGACCUGCGUUGUAUUAGCUAGUUGGUGAGGUAAAGGCUCACCAAGGCGACGAUACAUAGCCGACCUGAGAGGGUGAUCGGCCACACUGGGACUGAGACACGGCCCAGACUCCUACGGGAGGCAGCAGUAGGGAAUCUUCGGCAAUGGACGGAAGUCUGACCGAGCAACGCCGCGUGAGUGAAGAAGGUUUUCGGAUCGUAAAGCUCUGUUGUUAGAGAAGAACGGUAAUGGGAGUGGAAAAUCCAUUACGUGACGGUAACUAACCAGAAAGGGACGGCUAACUACGUGCCAGCAGCCGCGGUAAUACGUAGGUCUCGAGCGUUGUCCGGAUUUAUUGGGCGUAAAGCGAGCGCAGGCGGUUCUAUAAGUCUGAAGUAAAAGGCAGUGGCUCAACCAUUGUAUGCUUUGGAAACUGUAGAACUUGAGUGCAGAAGGGGAGAGUGGAAUUCCAUGUGUAGCGGUGAAAUGCGUAGAUAUAUGGAGGAACACCGGUGGCGAAAGCGGCUCUCUGGUCUGUAACUGACGC
rnacentral:rRNA from 1 species